CUGACUUUUUACUGCAUUUAUUCGCUAGGUAUCUAGCCUCAAUCAUAAACUUCAUUAAUGGAAACACAGAGCUAUAAGCUGAAGCAGAGAGCUCCUCGCAUUUUUUAACAGUCUGCAAUCCUCCCUUUCUAAAUUCUGUUUAUUUUUAAACACAAUACCUGAAAGUUAAGCUGUGAUUAACAAUAGUUUUUCACUUUAUGGUUCGACGUUAUCGAAUUAAUUCGAAAUAAUAUAGUUCCUAGGGAACCAAUGGCUGAUGAAAAGAUUAUAGAGUGGGAAGAAGAAGCAAAGUAUGUGAUUCAAGAUGUUGGCUUUGCACUUAAUAGCAUAGCCAUCUCUUCAAGUUUACCUCAGACAAAGUCUCGAAUCUUCCUCAACAUUGAAACACGAGAAAAGCAGAAGUUGUGCGUUGAAUUAUCCGCUAGUGGUUUCCGAGUUGUGUCCGAUACUUUCGAUGAAGCAGGUGAUGAUUAUCCGGACAAAACGUAUUACGAAACUCCUUAUGCGCUCUUUGAUAAAUACAGUAGUGAAUUCCGUAAUUGUUUCAGCGCGGAACUGAUAAAAAGACUAAAUAAUAUGCCUCAGUUGUCAUAAUUUUAUUCACGACAAGCAUUUUAUAUAAAUUCAAAUGUUUUUGUUAGUUUA